UGAUGAAAUGACGAGGAUCAUAUGGAAACAGCUAACGAUAGAUGUACUUUGACAGAGGCAACUUUUAUGACUUUACUUCCCUUGAUGGAAGUUGGAAUCGAAGAUUGUCUGCAUAUUAUUGAGUUUGAGUACAACAAGAGCCAAUCCCAGCAGGAGAUUCCCCUGUUGAACUUGAUGUUUACAAUUCAAAGGGCCUGGUGUGGCCUGGUUGGUACAUCUUGCCUAGUUUGAUCAACGGGAGGAACAAAGUGAAGAAACAAAUCCAUUAGAUUGUUCCAUCUUGCUAACUAAAUAAACGGCGUCUCGCACUCUUACCUCACCUUUGGCGCCUUCUACUUUCAUUCACGACCCAAGCUUCGAUUUCAAUCUGAAGUAAAUGUUGAUGAGGUUUGUAUUGUAAUAUGAAGGGGAGAGGCAUAAAGUUUAGAAGGAAAAACACUCAAGGGGAUCUCUUGCUAGGUUCGACAUAGAAGCACAGGUCUGACAUAGGAUUAUAGACUAUAUAAAUGUUUAGAUCAUGUAUUUAUGUUUAAUUACUGUAAGUUUAAUACAUUAUUUGAUAUCAAAGAUUCCAAAUAAGUGUUUCAUUUUGUGAAUUAUGAAUUGUAUCAAUGAUGUUGGAUUUUAUUUUA